CUAUUGCUCGGGUUAGGGAUUGACGUGGAAAUCCUUUUUGUGAAGUAUGAAUGAAAAGAUUGUAACAAAAAGCCCGACCGCGC
rnacentral:sRNA from 1 species